UAGAGUUUGGUCCUGGCUCAGAGCGAACGUUGGCGGCGUGGAUAAGGCAUGCAAGUCGAGCGAGGCCCACUGGGCAACCAGUGGAGUCGAGCGGCGAACGGAGCAGUAAUGCUUGGCUAACGUACCCCCAGGACCGGGAUAACCCCGGGAAACUGGGGCUAAUACCGGGCGACACAGGUAGUCGCAUGACUUACCUGUCAAAGGGUUGGUCGCCGUGAGGUGGCCUUCCGCCUGGGGAGCGGGCCAAGUGGUAUUAGCUAGUUGGUAGGGUAACGGCCUACCAAGGCGAAGAUGCCUAGCUGGUGUGAGAGCACGACCAGCGCCACUGGCACUGAGACACGGGCCAGACACCUACGGGUGGCAGCAGCCGAGAAUCUUCCGCAAUGGGCGAAAGCCUGACGGAGCGACGCCGCGUGGGGGAAGAAGGCCUUCGGGUUGUAAACCCCUUUCAGGUGAAGGGAAAGCCGCAAGGCUUGACCCGACGCCAGAAGAAGCACGGGCUAAGUUCGUGCCAGCAGCCGCGGUAAGACGAACCGUGCGAACGUUGCUCGGAAUCACUGGGCUUAAAGGGUGCGUAGGCGGUCGAUCAAGUCCGGGGUGAAAUCCCUCGGCUCAACCGAGGAAUUGCCCCGGAUACUGGUCGGCUAGAGGCACAACGAGGGGACGGGAACUGCCGGUGGACCGGUGAAAUGGGUAGAGAUCGGCAGGAACGCCAGAGGCGAAGGCGCGUCCCUGGGUGUGCCCUGACGCUGAGGCACGAAAGCUGGGGGAGCAAACGGGAUUAGAUACCCCGGUAGUCCCAGCCCUAAACGAUGGGUACUAUGCGGUAGGCUCGGCCUGGGCUUGCCGCCGAAGCGAAAGUGCUAAGUACCCCGCCUGGGGAGUAUGGCCGCAAGGCUGAAACUCAAAGGAAUUGACGGGACUCACACAAGCGGUGGAGCAUGUGGCUUAAUUCGAGGCAAUGCGAAGAACCUUAUCCUGGGCUUGACAUGCCAGGAAGUAGUCCUGCCGAAAGGUGGGGCGACCGGUACCCAGUCCGGAGCCUGGCACAGGUGCUGCAUGGCUGUCGUCAGCUCGUGUCGUGAGAUGUCGGGUUAAGUCCCAUAACGAGCGAAACCCCUGCCGCCAGUUGCCACCGGGUCAUGCCGAGCACUCUGGCGGGACUGCCGGUGUGAAACCGGAGGAAGGUGGGGACGACGUCAAGUCAUCAUGGCCCUUAUGCCCAGGGCUGCACACGUGCUACAAUGCGACGUACAAAGGGAAGCAAACCCGCGAGGGGGAGCAAAUCCCAAAAAACGCCGCCCAGUUCAGAUUGGAGGCUGCAACUCGCCUCCAUGAAGCCGGAAUCGCUAGUAAUCGCGGAUCAGCAAUGCCGCGGUGAAUGUGUUCCUGAGUCUUGUACACACCGCCCGUCAAGCCACCAAAGGGAGGGGCGUCCGAAGUCGCCGAGCUAACCCGCAAGGGAGGCAGGCGCCGAAGACGAAACUCCUGAUGGGGACUAAGUCGUAACAAGGUAACC
rnacentral:rRNA from 1 species